ACAAAUGGAAAACGGGUUGCUUCUGAGGUGGGGAACUGAGGGGAAUGGAGGGAAGGACUUCAUUAUGUCCCCAUCUGUAACUCUCACGCUUGGUAACACAUUAUAUUUUAGAAUGCUGAUGUGGACAGGACAGAUAGUGGGUCAUUUAUUUUCUUUAUACUUCCUUACAUUAAAACAACAUUAUACUUAAACAAAAAAUUUAAAAAGUUACAUUACCCCAAACUACAUUCACCUAUAUUGCUAAAUUAACUGGAUUUUUCUGCAGUUCUUAGAAGCAUUUCUUGCCAUUUCUGGACAAAUAUUUGCACGUUAUACAAAGCAUCCUUGUUUUGGAAGGUGGGUCGCUGCCUGUCCUGGUUCGUUUGAAAUUUUUUCUGGCAUGGGCAUGCCUGCCACUGAAAAACUCUACCUUCGAUGUCUGCAAAGUGCAUGCCUUGUCAUGCUCAAGUCCAAUGACAAGUAAACCUCAGGCAUGGCUGCUUUGGAAAAGCUCCAAUCCCUGCAUAAUAGUUCUAGAAAAACAAGUGAAUGUGUGAGCCACUGAGCUUGGCCUUCUUUAUAAAGACCUUUGUAAUGACAUUGGUCCCACCCAGAUAAUUCAGGAUCAUCUUCCAAGUCCCUUUUGCUACAUGAAGUCACCUAUUUACAGGUUCCAGGACUUAGGAGGUGGUUGUAUUUGAGGACCAUUAUUCAGCCCUCAAAUCAUGGGGUGGAGACUGUGCCCAUGACAGGCCCUGUUGGCUCUCGUGCCCAGAGCCAAACUCCAGCCCAGCUUCAGAGGCCCUGCAAGUUCUGGGCACUGCUUUCCCUCCAGGCCCCCAGCUCCCCAGCUCCUCACCCCUGCCUCUGGGCUCCAGUUCCUGGAAGGUAACUCGUUUCCUUUGGCCAUGGCCUGGGAACAGGCUUCCAGGCCCUUCCCUCCCCUGCAGCCUGGCCUGGCCAUGCUGGGUUCCUGGAGUUCAGCUCACAGGGACCAGGUGGCCAGUUGGAAGGGCAGACAGGCCACCCAGCACCAGAUUCCAGGACCCCGAGAGAACCGGGGAACCAGAGUGCCUGGGGAUUUGCAGACAGACUGUGAACUGGGCCAUACUUAUCUUUCCCCCUCCCAUGCGAAAGCCAUUUCCUCCCACGAAGCAGGAAAAAUCUCAGCCAGCCUCUGGGAUUUCACUGAAAACCCAGCACCACAAACCUCAAACAUGGAGUCCUCCUGUUUUUCUAGUAAGUUUUUUUCUCCAAGACGGCAGCUUCUGAGUCUCCUCUCUCCUCAAGACUCCCAGUGCCCUGAACCAGCCUGAAUCUUCACCCACUGAUCUUCCAUCUAAAAAUAAAACACAUCUGUACAAUAAAAUGUCAUUUAUCAAGAACAGAGCACAGAGGACUGGGUACUGUGGCUUACGCCUGUAAUCCCAGCACUUCGGGAGGCUGAGGCUGGAGGAUCUCUGGAGGCCAGGAGUUUGAGACCAGCCUGGACAACAUGGUGAAAGCCCAUCUCUACUAAAAAUACAAAAAAAUUAGCCAGGCAUGGUAGUGCAAGCCUGUGAUCCCAGCUGCUUGGGAGGCUGGGGCAGGAGGAUCGCUUGAGCCCAGGAGGAUUGCUUGAGCCCCAGGAGGUCAAGCACAGAGAAGUAUUAUGGAGUACUGUUUAAGAGUGUGAAUUCUGCUGCCCGAUUGCCCACCUUUAAGCAGCCCUGCUUCUUACCAGCUGUGUGACUUUGGGGAAGGUGAUUGCCCUCUGUGCCUGCUUCCUCAUUUGUAAGAUGAGGAUGACAGAAUAUAACAGUAGCUACCUCAAAGGCUUUUCAUGCAAAUGAAGUAUUUGCAAAGUGCUUGGAACAGGGUCAGGCAUAUAGUAAGCAUCAUCUACAUUUUUGUUAAAUAAUAAAAUUUGUUUCUUCAGCUUCUUACCAGGAAAUCUGCAUUUGCUGGACGUGUGUGCCCUUGUCCUUCUCUCCUGCCCCUUGGAGGACGUUUCUGUGCUUCAUAUUGAAAGCCAGUCCUGUGGCCAGGCACGGUGGCUGACGCCUGUAAUCCCAGCACUUUGGGAGGCCGAGGCGGGUGGAUCACUUGAGGCCAGGAGUUCGAGAUCCAGCCUGGCUAAUAUGGUGAAAACCUGUCUCUACUAAAAAUACAAAAAUUAACCGGGCGUGGUGGCGGGUGCCUGUAAUUCCAGCUACUUGGGAGGCUGAGGCAGGAGGAUCGCUGGAGCCUGGG
rnacentral:lncRNA from 1 species